rnacentral:rRNA from 1 species
UACGAAGGGGGCGAGCGUUGUUCGGAUUUACUGGGCGUAAAGGGCGCGCAGGCGGCUCAUUUUGUCAGGCGUGAAAGCCCCGGGCUUAACCUGGGAACUGCGUUUGAUACGGAUGGGCUAGAGUUCGGGAGAGGAGAGUGGAAUUCCCAGUGUAGAGGUGAAAUUCGUAGAUAUCUGGAGGAACACCGGUGGCGAAGGCGGCAUCCUGGACCGGCAUUGACGCUGAGGCGCGAAAGCUAGGGGAGCAAACGGG